rnacentral:rRNA from 1 species
GACGAACGCUGGCGGCGUGCUUAACACAUGCAAGUCGAACGGAAAGGCCCUGCUUUUGUGGGGUGCUCGAGUGGCGAACGGGUGAGUAACACGUGAGUAACCUGCCCUUGACUUUGGGAUAACUUCAGGAAACUGGGGCUAAUACCGGAUAGGAGCUCCUGCUGCAUGGUGGGGGUUGGAAAGUUUCGGCGGUUGGGGAUGGACUCGCGGGUUAUCAGCUUGUUGGUGGGGUAGUGGCUUACCAAGGGUUUGACGGGUAGCCGGCCUGAGAGGGUGACCGGCCACAUUGGGACUGAGAUACGGACCAGAAUCCUACGGGAGGCAACGGUGGGGAAUAUUACACAAUGGGCGGAAGCCAGAUGCAGCAACGCCGGGUGCGGGAUGACGGGCUUCGAGUUGAAAACCACUUUGGACUGUGACAAAGCGUGAGUGACGGUAAUGGGUAAAAAAGCACCGGCUAACUACGUG